rnacentral:rRNA from 1 species
CCUACGGGUAGCAGCAGUGGGGAAUAUUGCACAAUGGGGGAAACCCUGAUGCAGCGACGCCGCGUGAGUGAAGAAGUAUUUCGGUAUGUAAAGCUCUAUCAGCAGGGCAGAAAUAGCGACCUUUGGGUCGCCAGACGGUACCUGAUUAAGAAGCCCCGGCUAACUACGUGCCAGCAGCCGCGGUAAUACGUCGGGGGCAAGCGGUAUCCGGAUUUACUGGGUGUAAAGGGGGCGUAGACGGCAGCGCAAGUCUGAAGUGAAAUGCCGGGGCUUAACCCCGGAAAUGCUUUGGAAACUGUGCAGCUAGAGUGCAGGAGAGGUAAGUGGAAUUCCUAGUGUAGCGGUGAAAUGCGUAGAUAUUAGGAGGAACACCAGUGGCGAAGGCGGUUUACUGGACUGUAACUGACGUUGAGGCUCGAAAGCGUGGGGAGCAAACAGGAUUAGAUACCCCGGUAGUC